GAUCCCUGGUUGAUCCUGCCAGUUGUCAUAUGCUUGUCUCAAAGAUUAAGCCAUGCAUGUGUCAGUACAAGCCAAACUAAGGUGAAACCGCGAAUGGCUCAUUAAAUCAGUUAUGGUUCCUUUGAUGACUAAAAAUUUUACUUGGAUAACUGUGGUAAUUCUAGAGCUAAUACAUGCAACCAAGUCCUGACCGGUGACGGGAGGGACGCACUUAUUAGAUCAAAACCAAUCGGGCGCUUGCGUCCGUUGGGCUUGGUGACUCUGAAUAAGUUGUGGCUGAUCGCACGGUCUCGCACCGGCGACGCAUCUUUCAAAUGUCUGCCUUAUCAACUGUCGAUGGUAGGUUCUGCGCCUACCAUGGUCGUAACGGGUAACGGGGAAUCAGGGUUCGAUUCCGGAGAGGGAGCCUGAGAAACGGCUACCACAUCCAAGGAAGGCAGCAGGCGCGCAAAUUACCCACUCCCGGCACGGGGAGGUAGUGACGAUAAAUAACGAUACGGGACUCAUCCGAGGCCCCGUAAUCGGAAUGAGAACACUUUAAAUCCUUCUACGAUUAGCAAUCGGAGGGCAAGUCUGGUGCCAGCAGCCGCGGUAAUUCCAGCUCCGAUAGCGUAUACAAAAGUUGUUGCGGUUAAAAAGCUCGUAGUCGGACUUGUGUCACGCUCUGCCGGUUCACCGCUCGUCGGUGUUAAACUGGCAUGCAGCCGUGACGUCCUGCCGGUGCCCGAAGCGGUCUCGGUUCUCCUGUCGCGGCGUUAAGCCCUCCGGGGUGUCGCGUCGGAGUCCGUUUCCAGGGAGGGCCUAUAAUUACCCGUCGCGGGUGCUCUUAACCGAGUGUCUCGAUGGGCCGGCACAUUUACUUUGAACAAAUUAGAGUGCUUAAAGCAGGCAGCUACCGCCUGAAUAUCCAGUGCAUGGAAUAAUGGAAUAGGACCUCGGUUCUAUUUUGUUGGUUUUCGGAAUCCCCGAGGUAAUGAUCAACAGGGACGGACGGGGGCAUUCGUAUUGUGACGUUAGAGGUGAAAUUCUUGGAUCGUCGCAAGACGGACAGAAGCGAAAGCAUUUGUCAAGCACGUUCCCUUUGAUCAAGAACGAAAGCCAGAUGAUCGAAGGCGAUCAGAUACCGCCCUAGUUCUGACCAUAAACUAUGCCAGCUAGCAAUCCGUCGAAGUUCCUCCGAUGACUCGACGGGCGGCUUCCGGGAAACCAAAGCUAUUGGGUUCCGGGGGAAGUAUGGUUGCAAAGCUGAAACUUAAAGGAAUUGACGGAAGGGCACUACCAGAGGUGGAGCCUGCGGCUUAAUUUGACUCAACACGGGAAAACUCACCAGGUCCGGACUCCGGGAGGAUUGACAGAUUGAGAGCUCUUUCUUGAUUCGGAGGGUAGUGGUGCAUGGCCGUUCCUAGUUGGUGGACUGAUCUGUCUGCUUGAUUGCGAUAACGAACGAGACUCUGACCUGCUAACUAGUCGGACCGGGAUCCUUAGCGCUCCCGGCGACUCAAUAUCUUCUUAGAGGGAUGGGCGGCGUCCAGCCGCAUGAGAAAGAGCAAUAACAGGUCUGUGAUGCCCUUAGAUGUCCUGGGCCGCACGCGCGCUACACUGAAGGAACCAGCGUGUGCUUCCCUGUCCGAGAGGAUCGGGUAACCCGUUGAAUCUCCUUCGUGAUAGGGAUUGGGGCUUGGAAUUAUUCCCCAUGAACGAGGAAUCCCUAGUAGGCGCGAGUCAUAAGCUCGCGCCGAUUACGUCCCUGCCCUUUGUACACACCGCCCGUCGCUACUACUGAUUGGAUGAUUUAGUGAGGCCUUUGGACCGUGCGCCGGAGGGUUUCGUACCUUCCGACCGCGCGGAAAGAUGUCCGAACUUGAUCAUUUAGAAGAAGUAAAAGUCGUAACAAGGUUUCCGUAGGUGAACCUGCGGAAGGAUCAUUA
rnacentral:rRNA from 1 species